UGAGCAACCUGCCCUUGACUCUGGAAUAACAGCUGGAAACAGCUGCUAAUACCGGAUAUGACCUCUUCCGACAUCGGGCGAGGUGGAAAGCUCCGGCGGUCAAGGAUGGGCUCGCGGCCUAUCAGCUAGUUGGUGAGGUAACGGCUCACCAAGGCAACGAUGCGUAGCCGACCUGAGAGGGUGAUCGGCCACAUUGGAACUGAGACACGGUCCAGAUCCGUAACGGG
rnacentral:rRNA from 1 species